rnacentral:lncRNA from 1 species
UGUGUGUGUUCGUCUUCGCGGGCCGGGCUGAGCCGGCGCUCGUCUUCUCACGUGGCCCGGUAAGAGGCGGUGGCAGCGAGCGGCUGGCCGGGCCGGCGACUCGUCCGUUCUCCUGACCUUCCCCGCGUUUUGCCCGUGGCUUCUGGGGCGGCGAGGGAGCGAGCGAAAGUCUCUCGGCUGCGGGAGGGCUGGAGAAAGUCCGAGGACGGGAACGGAAGAGAGAAAGUAGUGGAUCUGCAGGGUGGCGAUUGACUCCGGCUUUUUAAUCCGAACACGCAAAGGCAUGAGCUUCGUAAAUCCUUGGUUCAGAGAAAACAUCAAAGUACCGUUUAACUGAAGAAUAAAGGAAGUAUGAAAGAAAAACUUAUUGGACUCUGAAUUCUUGGACCG